AUAUAGGUGCUGUUCGUUUG
rnacentral:siRNA from 1 species